rfam:Glycine soja cultivar W05 scaffold183_39, whole genome shotgun sequence.
AAAAGCUGUGUGCAAUAAAAAAUGUAAGCACGGUUUGGGGAGGAAUUUUUUAUUGUUUUAUUAUUGAAUUUGAUUAAAGAAUAAAUUAUCUACUUCAU